GACGAACGCUGGCGGCGUGCCUAAUACAUGCAAGUUGAGCGAUGAAGUUUGGUGCUUGCACCAAUUUGAAGAGCAGCGAACGGGUGAGUAACGCGUGGGGAAUCUGCCUUUGAGCGGGGGACAACAUUUGGAAACGAAUGCUAAUACCGCAUAACAACUUUAAACAUAAGUUUUAAGUUUGAAAGAUGCAAUUGCAUCACUCAAAGAUGAUCCCGCGUUGUAUUAGCUAGUUGGUGAGGUAAAGGCUCACCAAGGCGAUGAUACAUAGCCGACCUGAAAAGGUGAUCGGCCACAAUGGGACUGAGACACCGCCCAAACUCCUACGGGAGGCAGCAGUAGGGAAUCUUCGGCAAUGGACGAAAGUCUGACCGAGCAACGCCGCGUGAGUGAAGAAGGUUUUCGGAUCGUAAAACUCUGUUGGUAGAGAAGAACGUUGGUGAGAGUGGAAAGCUCAUCAAGUGACGGUAACUACCCAGAAAGGGACGGCUAACUACGUG
rnacentral:rRNA from 1 species